AAGCCGUAACAAGGUUUCCGUAGGUGAACCUGCGGAAGGAUCAUUAAAAGAAUCUGCCUCACCCACAGAUAUCUUAUCACGUGUGAACUGUCUAGCUUGUCACCCGAGAUGGACACCUCAGAGAUCUCGGUCUUUGGGGGGUCUGUCUUGGGGGUCAGCUUAUGCUACUGAUUGUGCCCCGAGAAUCUUUAAAAGACUAUAAAACUUUUAGCAAUGGAUCUCUAGGCUCCU
rnacentral:misc_RNA from 1 species